rnacentral:misc_RNA from 1 species
GUGAAUCAUCGAAUUUUUGAACGCACAUUGCACUCCCUGGCAUUCCGGAGAGUAUGCCUGUUUGAGGGUCAGUUUAAAUCAAAAUCGCGGUGUUGCUGUUUUGUGCUCCCUCGGAAUUGGGUUCUCUUUGACCUUUUAAAAAGUUUAAGUGACCUAAAAUUCCUACCUUGCGCAUCACUGCCGUACAUAAGAAUAUUUUUUUCUCCGUCCGCAGUUGCCAACUUUUUAUCAUGUAUGUCCAUGCUGUUUGUGGUAUCGUCCCUAUAUUAUCAUCAUAUUUUGACCUCGAAUC